rnacentral:rRNA from 1 species
AGAGUUUGAUUCUGGCUCAGACUGAACGCUGGCGGCAUGGCUAAAACAUGCAAGUCGCACGGACCCGCAAGGGUUAGUGGCGAAAGGGUGAGUAAAAGCAUCGAACGUACCCCGAGGUGGAGGAUAGGCAUGGGAAACUGUGCGUAAUACUUCAUGAUCUCGCGAGAGCAAAGCAGCAAUGCGCCUUGGGAGCGGCGAUGUACCUAUCAGGUAGUUGGCGGGGUAAUGGCCCACCAAGCCGAAGACGGGUAGCCGGUAUGAGAGUACGGCCGGCCACAUCGGGACUGAGACACUGCCCGGACUCCUACGGGAGGCUGCAGUAACGAAUAUUCCGCAAUGGGCGAAAGCCUGACGGAGCAAUGCCGCGUGUGGGAUGAAGCGGUUUCGCCGUGUAAACCACUGUCAGGAGAUAGAAAAGCUGAUCAUCUCCAGAGGAAGGGGCGACUAACUCUGUGCCAGCAGUCGCGGUAAUACAGAGGCCCCAAGCGUUAGUCGGAAUCACUGGGCUUAAAGGGUGCGUAGGCGGAUGUGUAAGUGUCUUGUGAAAGCCCCGGGCUCAACCCGGGAACCGCAGGGCAUACUGCAUGUCUUGAGGAAACUAGAGGCCGGUAGAACGAUCGGUGGAGCGGUGGAAUGCGUAGAGAUCGAUCGGAAUGCCAAUGGUGAAGACAGCCGGCUGGGGUUUUCCUGACGCUGAGGCACGAAAGCGUGGGGAUCAAACAGGAUUAGAUACCCUGGUAGUCCACGCCCUAAACGAUGCACACUAGAUCGGUGCAGGUUUCACCCUGUAUUGGUCGUAGAGAAAUUGAUAAGUGUGCCGCCUGGGGAGUACGGUCGCAAGGCUAAAACUCAAAUGAAUUGACGG